rnacentral:rRNA from 1 species
CCUACGGGUGGCAGCAGUGAGGAAUAUUGGUCAAUGGACGAGAGUCUGAACCAGCCAAGUAGCGUGAAGGAUGACUGCCCUAUGGGUUGUAAACUUCUUUUAUAUGGGAAUAAAACGUUCCACGUGUGGGAUUUUGUCUGUACCAUAUGAAUAAGGAUAGGCUAACUCCGUGCCAGCAGCAGCGGUAAUACGGAGGAUCCGAGCGUUAUCCGGAUUUAUUGGGUUUAAAGGGAGCGUAGGUGGAUUGUUAAGUCAGUUGUGAAAGUUUGCGGCUCAACCGUAAAAUUGCAGUUGAAACUGGCAGUCUUGAGUACAGUAGAGGUGGGCGGAAUUCGUGGUGUAGCGGUGAAAUGCUUAGAUAUCACGAAGAACUCCGAUUGCGAAGGCAGUUCACUGGACUGCAACUGACACUGAGGCUCGAAAGUGUGGGUAUCAAACAGGAUUAGAUACCCCAGUAGUC